rnacentral:lncRNA from 1 species
GAAGUUAGUGAGAAUGAACAAAAAUAAGCAAAUGAAUGCCUUUUUCAACAGCAGUGUUAGGCUCAUCAACUCUAAGCUGAUAGAUGCAUUCUUUUGCCAAAAUAGUAUAUUCUUAAACUACCACAGUCACUGAAUCAGCAUUCUCCCAGUGCAAGACCAAGACUUUAAGAGGUUAGACAGUUGUGAAGCAAGCGUUUUGUGCAGGGGCCCACAUCUCAGCAGUAAGGUUAGCAAAGAAGGACCUCUCCCAAUAAAAACGAGAAGCAUCCUUCUGUUUUGACUGUCUAAACUGUCUUUUAGUGCAAAGAGAUUGUUACUUGAACUUAAUAGGUCUCAAUCUUUUCCUGAUUACAUUUACAUUUUUUCUCUU